rnacentral:misc_RNA from 1 species
AACCAUUCUCACCUGCGGCUAGACCUGCGGAAGGAUCAUUACCGAGUGCGGGCCCUCUGGGUCCAACCUCCCACCCGUGUCUAUCGUACCUUGUUGCUUCGGCGGGCCCGCCUGCUGGCCGCCGGGGGGCCUCCGCCCCCGGGCCCGCGCCCGCCGAAGACACCGCCGAACUCUGUCUGAAGAUUGCGGUCUGAGCGAUUUACGAAAUUAGUUAAAACUUUCAACAACGGAUCUCAGAUC